UACGUAGGGGGCAAGCGUUGUCCGGAUUUAUUGGGCGUAAAGAGCGUGUAGGCGGCCAGGUAGGUCGGUUGUGAAAACUCGAGGCUCAACCUCGAGAUGUCGACCGAAACCAUCUGGCUAGAGUCCGGAAGAGGAGAAUGGAAUUCCCGGUGUAGCGGUGAAAUGCGCAGAUAUCAGGAGGAACACCGAUGGCGAAGGCAGGUCUCUGGGCUGUAACUGACGCUGAGGUGCGAAAGCGUGGGGGAGCAAACAGG
rnacentral:rRNA from 1 species